UACGGAGGGUGCAAACGUUGCUCGGAAUUAUUGGGCGUAAAGCGCACGUAGGCGGCCAAUUAAGUCGGGUGUGAAAGCCCAGGGCUCAACCCUGGAAGUGCACUCGAAACUGAUUGGCUUGAGUAUGGAAGAGGGUUGCGGAAUUCCCGGUGUAGAGGUGAAAUUCGUAGAUAUCGGGAGGAACACCAGUGGCGAAGGCGGCAACCUGGGCCAAUACUGACGCUGAGGUGCGAAAGCGUGGGGAGCAAAACAGG
rnacentral:rRNA from 1 species